rnacentral:rRNA from 1 species
UACGGAGGGUGCAAGCGUUAUCCGGAUUCACUGGGUUUAAAGGGUGCGUAGGCGGGUUGGUAAGUCCGUGGUGAAAUCCCCAAGCUUAACUUGGGAACUGCCGUGGAUACUAUCAAUCUUGAAUAUCGUGGAGGUAAGCGGAAUAUGUCAUGUAGCGGUGAAAUGCUUAGAUAUGACACAGAACACCGAUUGCGAAGGCAGCUCACUAAACUGUAACUGACGCUGAGGCACGAAAGCGUGGGGAGCAAACAGG